GACGAACGCUGGCGGCGUGCUUAACACAUGCAAGUCGAACGAUGAAGCCGGAACUUGCUCUGGUGAAUUAGUGGCGAACGGGUGAGUAACACGUGAGUAACCUGCCCUUGACUCUGGGAUAACUGCGGGAAACUGUAGCUAAUACCGGAUACGACCCUCGGAGGCAUCUCCUGGGGGUGGAAAGAAUUUCGGUCAAGGAUGCGACUCGCGGCCUAUCAGCUAGUUGGUGAGGUAAAGGCUCACCAAGGCGACGACGGGUAGCCGGCCUGAGAGGGGGACCGGCCACACUGGGACCGAGACACGGCCCAGAAUCCGACGGGAGGCAGCAGUGGGGAAUAUUGCACAAUGGGCGCAAGCCUGAUGCGGCAACGCCGCGUGAGGGAUGACGGCCUUCGGGUUGUAAACCUCUUUUAGCAGGGAAGAAGCGAAAGUGACGGUACCUGCAGAAAAAGCACCGGCUAACUACGUGCCAGCAGCCGCGGUAA
rnacentral:rRNA from 1 species